rnacentral:rRNA from 1 species
AAUCAAGUGCCUUAAGGGUGUUCGGUGGAUGCCUUGGCGCUGAGAGGCGAUGAAGGACGUGCUACGCUGCGAUAAGCCGUGGGGAGCUGCGAAGAAGCUUUGAUCCAUGGAUUUCCGAAUGGGGAAACCCACCUUCGAUAGCCGGAACUCCAAGACCUUUGUCGAAAGACAUCGGUGUGGGGUUCGAUCAGAUAAUGUGAGAAGCCGGACCUUUAGAUUUCGAUCGAAGAGUUUUGGAUUUCCGGUUAUCAAGAGAAGGUAUGAGACUUCUGAAUACAUAGGAGGUUUCAAGCAAACCCAGGGAACUGAAACAUCUAAGUACCUGGAGGAAAGGACAUCAACAGAGACUCCCGUUAGUAGUGGCGAGCGAACGCGGACCAGGCCAGUGAUACAUCAAAGACAAUCGGAACCAGUCAGGAAAGCUGGGCCU